GAUGAACGCUGGCGGCGUGCCUAAUACAUGCAAGUCGAGCGAACAGACGAGGAGCUUGCUCCUCUGACGUUAGCGGCGGACGGGUGAGUAACACGUGGAUAACCUACCUAUAAGACUGGGAUAACUUCGGGAAACCGGAGCUAAUACCGGAUAAUAUAUUGAACCGCAUGGUUCAAUAGUGAAAGACGGUUUUGCUGUCACUUAUAGAUGGAUCCGCGCCGCAUUAGCUAGUUGGUAAGGUAACGGCUUAUCAAGGCAACGAUGCGUAGCCGACCUGAGAGGGUGAUCGGCCACACUGGAACGGAGCCACGGUCCAGACUCCUACGGGAGGCAGCAGUAGGGAAUCUUCCGCAAUGGGCGAAAACCUGACGGAGCAACGCCGCGUGAGUGAUGAAGGUCUUCGGAUCGUAAAACUCUGUUAUUAGGGAAGAACAAAUGUGUAAGUAACUAUGCACGUCUUGACGGUACCUAAUCAGAAAGCCACGGCUAACUACGUG
rnacentral:rRNA from 1 species